rnacentral:misc_RNA from 1 species
GAUGAAGAACGUAGUGAAAUGCGAUAAGUAAUGUGAAUUGCAGAAUUCAGUGAAUCAUCGAAUCUUUGAACGCAUAUUGCGCCCCUUGGUAUUCCGAGGGGCAUGCCUGUCCGAGCGUCAUACAAGAACCGUCGGGGUGCGCCAAGUCGCCUCCGGUGUUGGGACGCGCGUCCCCCUGUGGGGGCGCCGUCCUGAAAUGCAGCACGGGCGUCGUCGGGACCUCAAGCGAAGUGAUCAUCGUUGCCGCUUUGGAGGGCCUCGACCGCGCCUCGUCCGCCGUUCCACGCGAAGGUUGACCUCGGAUCAGGUAGGGAUACCCGCUGAACUUAAGCAUAUCAAUAAGCGGAGGA